CACUGAUAAAAAAAAUCACAAUCUGGCGAAAAAAUGACCUCACACAAGAGUGGAAAUCUUUGUUUAUGCCGUGAUACAUAAGCAAAAAUAAGUAAACACAAACAACAACAACAACAGAAAACAAACAGAAGCUAGGAUCAAAGAGCCUCCGGCUCGCAGGCAAGUAAAAUGUGAAAUGGAUUAUUAUUAUUAUUACUAUUCAUUUAUUUUUUAAAGCAAAUCACCACCACUGCUUUGGUGCUUGAUGAGUGAGGAAUGAGCUUAUUGUGUUGCUUUUUCUUUCCCUUGCUCUCUCUCUCUCUCUUUCUCUCUCUCUGUCUGUAAUCCAUUGGUCAGAGCGCCACCGUCUUUCUCGCCACCAGACAGGAUGGUACAAAGCAAGCGGAUCCAGAGCCACUCAGGCGGCCAGCACAUGGGACGUGGGCGAUCGAGGCCUGCUUCAAUAUUAAAGAGGCCAAAUGCAAACCUACGUUUGUGGAGCCUCUCUUUCUGU